UACAGAGGGGGCAAGCGUUAUUCGGAAUUAUUGGGCGUAAAGGGCGCGUAGGCGGCCUGACAAGUGGAAGGUGAAAUCCCUCGGCUUAACCGAGGAACUGCCCUCCAAACUGUUUGGCUUGAGACCGGGAGAGGUGAGUGGAAUUCCCAGUGUAGCGGUGAAAUGCGUAGAUAUUGGGAAGAACACCGGUGGCGAAAGCGCUCUGCUGGGCCAUAACUGACACUCAGGGACGAAAGCUAGGGGAGCGAAUGGG
rnacentral:rRNA from 1 species